rnacentral:rRNA from 1 species
AUUGAACGCUGGCGGCAGGCCUAACACAUGCAAGUCGAACGGUAACAGGGAUCAGCUUGCUGAUUCGCUGACGAGUGGCGGACGGGUGAGUAAUGUCUGGGAAACUGCCUGAUGGAGGGGGAUAACUACUGGAAACGGUAGCUAAUACCGCAUAACGUCGCAAGACCAAAGAGGGGGACCUUCGGGCCUCUUGCCAUCGGAUGUGCCCAGAUGGGAUUAGCUAGUAGGUGGGGUAACGGCUCACCUAGGCGACGAUCCCUAGCUGGUCUGAGAGGAUGACCAGCCGCACUGGAACCGAGACACGGUCCAGACUCCUACGGGAGGCAGCAGUGGGGAAUAUUGCACAAUGGGCGCAAGCCUGAUGCAGCCAUGCCGCGUGUAUGAAGAAGGCCUUCGGGUUGUAAAGUACUUUCAGCGGGGAGGAAGGGAGUAAAGUUAAUACCUUUGCUCAUUGACGUUACCCGCAGAAGAAGCACCGGCUAACUCCGUG